GAAGCUUGCUUCUCUGCUGACGAGCGGCGGACGGGUGAGUAAUGUAUGGGGAUCUGCCUGAUGGCGGGGGAUAACUACUGGAAACGGUAGCUAAUACCGCAUAAUGUCUUCGGACCAAAGCGGGGGACCUCCGGGCCUCGCGCCAUCAGAUGAACCCAUAUGGGAUUAGCUAGUAGGUGAGGUAACGGCUUACCUAGGCGACGAUCCCUAGCUGGUCUGAGAGGAUGAUCAGCCACACUGGGACUGAGACACGG
rnacentral:rRNA from 1 species